GAUGCAAGCCAGACAGCCGCUGGCCAGAGCAGCAAUGCGAUGGCGGGAGGAAGGUCCGGACUCCAUAGAGCAGGGUGACGGUUAACGGCCGUCCGCCGAAAGCCUCGCAAGAGGUAUAAGGCGAGGAACAGGGCCACAGAGACGAGCGUAUUAAGUUACGGUGAAACGCGGUAACCUCCACCUGGAGCAAUCCCAAAUAGGCACGCGAUGAGGUGGCUCGCCGAGCGUGCGGGUAGGGAGCUUGAGCGCCUGAGCAAUCCGGCGCCUAGAGGAAUGGCUGUCAUAGCGGAUGCCGCAAGGCGGACGCCGUAACAGAAUCCGGCCUAUCGGCUUGCUUCACUU
rnacentral:RNase_P_RNA from 1 species